ensembl:lncRNA
UGGAGUUUGCUCCUCUUGGAGUUUUUCCUGCAAGCCUAUAACAUGGGGUUGCAGGUACAAAGAGGGCCCAGGUGAACGAGUCAAUGUGACCAACGCUGUGAUGGCCAGCAUCUGGGACAAAGAAAUGCAAUAUCUAAAAUACAGCCAACAUGCUGCCUCUCCUCCGAAUACGCUCAUCGAUUGCAUUGGCUGCUAUCGUGCCACUGAUGCAGCACAAAGCAGGUGGAAAUUAUUCGCUCUUCCCCACUGGGGAUUCCCUUUGCAAAUGUGACGCCGGAUUAGCCAGCUCAUAAGUUGUCUUCCCAAGGUUCCCAGGGCUGAGGAGCACAGCGAGCGCAGCCCGUGCCAAAAUGCACCCGGUGUCAGCUCACGGCUCUUAAGGGAGGCUUCCUAAUUGCCAUAAAUUAGCUGCUAUUACUUGCUUUACAGCAGAGAAGCAGGGAAGUGGUUGGUUCUCAUUUUGCCCUCAUCUGGAGGUAGCAAAGGACACACAGGCUUUGUCAGUAUCCUCCAGUGCUUGGAGGGGAGCCCCUUAUUCCUGCAAAUCCAGCAAUCAGCCCAUGGGGAGAGCGGGCACAUGACGAGGAUCACAGAUGCACAACUGUAUCUGUUCUGAAUCAUCUCACUUCUAAGGCACUGACAGACCCCGUGCUGCUGCCAUUCUGAAUCUAACCCACCUCUUCUGCUUGAAUGUGGGGCCAUAGGCAUCCUCAGCCCUCUUCAACAACACCGUGACCCUCUAAAACAACAAAAAGAUACUUAUAAAUUUAGCCAGGGGAAACCCCUGUAUGUAAAUAACCACAUAGCUAAAUUCUGCCCUUCAUCUCACACCCAUACAACUGAGAGGAAAUAAAAGGCCAAUUUUAGCCUCAAGGUAAACAAGUGCUGAUGGAGGUAGAACUGCUACUUACACCAAGGUUGAGCCUGGUGCACUGGAGCUACGUAAACACAACUCAGCACAGUAUCAGAAAAUAUUCUGACAUGCUCUGCAAAAUUUUAAAGUUAAAACUGCCAUUCUGUCUAGGAGAAAUAUAGGCACUCAGGUCUAUCCCUUUGCUAUAGAUUUUGCUACAGCUCCUGUAAAAGUCUAUGGAAAAUCAUCAAGUGUCUC